AAACUCAUUUCCAUUUUUUAUUUGAUGUUUCCAAAUAUAAAAAAAGUCAAGAUUCUUACACCAAUUAUCUCAAAUGAGACCAUGCAAAGCAAAGUGUAUACAACAAUCAUUUCCCCUUCAGUUCUGUGUGAUUGACAGAAAAUUGAAUGGCAUAUGCCUGGUUGAAAAAUUUCACCAGUUUACAAAAAAAAAAAAAAACCACCAACAACCCAGCAACAAACAUGCAAGCCAGUUGCUACUUUGUGUCUACAAGUUACUUUAUAAACUUUUUUAAUUAGGAGGCACAAUGAACUGAAAAUUUUAGCUGCCCAAAUUUAUCUUGCUACCCCACAGAAAGCACAGGUGACAGUCCCAACACUCUGUAAACUCUGGAGAGUUGAGCUAGUAGACACUAUUGGUUAUCUACAGUAGGGUCAGCUCUUGAGUCUGCAAAAGUCGGCUUUUUCUCUUAACAGAAAUAAGUCUCCUUAGGGCCUUUCCUGUAGGAAAUUUUGCUAGGCUGGGUUCCAAAAGAAUAAUGAAGUGUGAAAUUUAAAGUGUGACAACUGAAGUAUUUUGAUGCCUUAUACAAAUUUUUCCUAGUUGCACAGACUAAAGACAGGUGGUCUGCUAAACAGCACUGAAGAACAUCCUGACCCAGUGGUACUACUUACUCCAAAUGUUUCUGACCAAAGAAAAUUAUACAACAAUAUUUAUAGGCUCACUUUUAAGAAAUGGGCUGACAUUAAUACUGUACAUAUUUUACAUGUCAAAUACAUAGUCCAGGAGUUUCUAAAAUAAGUUCAUGCAUUAUUACUUCUAAUAAUAUCAUAUACAAGAUACCCAGCCCCCCUCCCCCAGUAUUUCUCACAUUUCAGGUGGACACAAGUCUUAUAUACAAAAACAAUCCAGUUCUCUCUGCUGCCUUAAGUAUAUAAUUUAAAGAAACUUCAGAGAUUACUGAGAAAAAACUACAAAGUGUCAAUCUGUGGGAUUUAAAAUGUUUCCUUAAAAAAAAAAAAAAAACACCCAGAAUACAUAACCUCUGUACAAAGAAAAAUAUAAAAAUUCUAGAUGAUCAUGUUUGAUCACAUUACAUAAUUUAGGAUGAUAUGUCAUUGGUUAAGUUUUUUUACUUUACUCAUUCCUUUGACAGCAUUCAUUUGUGAACUAAUAUUUAUAUUUAGUUCAGCUGCAUUUACGGCACAAGAUCUCAUUUUCAAAACAGUGGCACCAAUUUUCCUUAAGUGUAACAGUAUUCUAUUUUUAGCAGCAAUUAUGUUUUAAAGGUUGACAAUUUAGAGAACAAAUGUGUAACUAUGCUUACUUUCUACUUUAUAUUCACCAGUUAUGAUGUUUACAAAAAGCUAAUGUCUACAUAUGGAAUCAUCUUUCACUUUACCCCACCUCAUUUCUCGCUUGGUCAGCAAAGUACAGACAAGGUAUUCAUGUGUUUCUGUUAGGUGGGAUUCUUGGAUUUAAGUGAAUAUAAAGACAAGUGUAAGACAAAUUCUUAGUCCAGGUAUGUUCCAGAGCCCCAGUAUUUAGUUACAUAAUACCUACUGACCAGCUAUAAAAGAUGAGAUGUUCUAAGGUGCCUUAACAAUCUAGGUCUGUAACAGCUGAACAAGGCCAUUUCACUCAACUGUGAUG
ensembl:lncRNA